AAAGCUUUAAGUUAAUUAAAACUAUUAGCCUUCAAAGCUAAAAAUACCUGACAAUUAAUGUAGGCUUUA
rnacentral:tRNA from 1 species